rnacentral:lncRNA from 1 species
GUGGCUUCCUAAAACAGUUUCGCUUAUACCAAUCUUUCAAGUAUUAAUUUAUAUGUAUAUAUUCACCCAGAUUGAACACGAAACAAAGGCGUUACCGCAGCCACCUAGGAUGAGGGACAAAAGAGGUGUGAGGGGCGCUGGGGGCCACAGGAGCCAUGACAAGCGGAUUUUCAGUGAGUCCCUCAUCCUCCAACACAAGCCUGCUCCACCUUCCCUCAUUCCACCCUCCACAAAGGCCUGGGGCGGGGGAGGACGUUUCUGUCCAUGAAGUUGGGGGCACCCACACACACAACCUCGUCCGAUUGUGAUUCUAGCCAGCAUUUAAGGGUGGAUACAGGAGAUCAAAGUAUUUGAAUACUUGCUUCACUUUCUAUUUGUGUCUGGUCCCUCAAUGCUGAGUGGGAUGUGCAUUGAUGGAGGGCUUUGCUGUUCCUAUGUCGUGCUUGGGACAGUCGGCCACAAAGCUGGGCUGACCUCUCGGGCCGGGCCGGGCCUGGCCAGCGUGCCGAACGCGCAGAGAGCGCGCUGCUGAGCCGAAGCUGGGAGCUGGAAGCCCGGAGGUACCGGGGCGUAGGGAGCAGAGUGGGCAGCCCUUGGGCCUCGCGGGAGCCCCUCCCAACCCCUGCACAGAUCCCUGACCUACUUCCAGGGCUUCUUUCUGUUCCAGGAGCAGCUCAAAAUCCAUAAAUUAAGGAAAUUAACUGAUGGGGCCUGCGGCAUCUUUGUAAGCUAUUUAAAUCUAUAAAUUUACAACAUCUUCUGCAUAUAUCAAAUAAUUGAACUAACUGCAGGGAUGUAACUUUAAUGAGAAAAUUUCCCCCUUUUUCCUGUAGUUCGAACUCGAAAAUAAAUAAAUAAAUAAAACCUUCCCUUA